CCUACGUGAGGCAGCAGUGGGGGAUAUUGCACAAUGGGGGAAACCCUGAUGCAGCGACGCCGCGUGUGGGAAGACGGUCCUCUGGAUUGUAAACCACUGUCUCCAGGGACGAAGAUGACGGUACCUGGGGAGGAAGCUCCGGCUAACUACGUGCCAGCAGCCGCGGUAAUACGUAGGGGACGGGUGUUGUCAGGAAUUACUGGGGGUAAAGGGAGGGUAGGCGGGGAUGCAAGUGUGGUGUAAAAACUACCGGCUAAACUGGUAGUCGCACUCAAAACUGCAGCUCUUGAGUGAAGUAGAGGCAGGCGGAAUUCCUAGUGUAGCGGUGAAAUGCGUAGAUAUUAGGAGGAACACCAGUGGCGAAGGCGGCCUGCUGGGCUUUUACUGACGCUGAGGCUCGAAAGUGUGGGGAGCAAACAGGAUUAGAUACCCCAGUAGUC
rnacentral:rRNA from 1 species